ACUGUGUCCAGAGCUACAGACAUUCCUAUUUGUCCGUGAGUUGCAUGACUAAUGCGCUUGGCCUCGUUAAGAAUGAAGUGGGCACAUGAGAACGUUUUCAAGGACAUCAGCCGGUGCUGCUUGGACAGAGGAGAGCCACUAGUGAAAACACCCCAAGGCUUCUUCCUGGUGCAGGGCAGACCCUGGUUAAAUCAUUCCAGUGAUCCAUGGUGGUAGAUGGAGUUUGGAGGUACCAGUAAAUUCCUGGUUCAGUAGUGCCGUGUGGCUGCGUCACCGUGUUCCGGAAGAUGGCUUGUAAGGAGAAGUGAGAUACGCAACUUCCAAGUUGGGCCCUGAAAAGAAAGUAGCGUGACAUCUCACUUCAUUUUCCUUCUUCCUGUGGCUGGAAUGGAAAAGUGAUGGUGGGAACUUGGGCAGCUCUUUUGGACCACAAACAGAAAGCAGGCGGGCGGGGGCACCUGGGGGCCUCAAUGGGUUAGGCCUCGACUUCAGCCUCGGGUCACGAUUUCACAGUUUGUGAGUUCGGGCCCCACGUUGGGCUCUGGUGCUGACAGCUCAGAGCCUGGAGCCUGCUUCAGAUUCUGUGUCGUCCUCUCUCUCUCUCUCUCUGCCCCUCCCCUGCUCAUGCUCUGUCUCUCUCUCUCACUCUUAAAAAUAAUAAACAAACAUUUAAAAAAAUUAAAAAGAAAGAAAGAAAGAAAGAAAGAAGAAAGAAAGAAAGAAAGAAAAGAAAGAAACUGGGAAGUCGGAUCGUGGAGUCAAAAUACGGAGGGAGGUUGGGCCCAAAGUGGCUUCCUGGAGGAAUGCCGUCAAACUAGUUUGGGGCUUAACACAAGGGAACAAUAACAUCAGCCUUUUUUGAGUUGUGUGAACUCUGAUCUUUGUUACUGCAGCCAAACAUGCACCCUAACUUCAUAGUGUUUAUGAAGUCAGGGACCAGUUAGUCCCCCGUAGCUACCUAGUAUCCCUGGCGCCGGCAGACGGCGGAGGGCUGACAGAUCCCGCACUCGCACUGGGUGGUCAGGCCCAGUUCAACACAGCAGUGGCAACGGCGUCCUGCCACAGCACAGUCCCCUUGGUCAAACUGUUCCGCCUCUGAGACCGUUGCUGUGCCUCUGCCCCUGCCCCUCUGCAAGCCUGUUCUUCCAGCCUCUUGAUAAUUUUGGUGUGCUCCUGAUAUCCUUCUGAUAGAUUCCCUCUUUUUAUUGCCACUCACAGGUGGCACAGGUUUAUGCGAUUUGCAACCGCGGAAUUCCAAAUUGAGGCGCCGAUUUCCAAUUUCACCUUCUUCCAGAGACAGGGCCCUGCUGCCUGUGUGGUAUUUGUAAGCAGAGGUCUCAUUCUGCAUUUCCCCAGCUUGAUAUCCAUUAGGGAUUGUUUGGCGAUCCUUUGGGCAGAGCUCGUUCGGUCAGGGUAACCUCCUCAGUGUGGCAUGUGAAGCCUUGCAGGAUGUGGCCCCAACACCGCUCCCCAGUUUUCUCUCUUUGUGCCUGUCUCUAGGCCCCGUACGUCAUGAUUUGGCCAUACUAAAUCACUGGGCAGGCACAAGGUCCACCUCCCAGCCCUUCCUUCUCCCACCUGCUUGUCAGUUCUCAUUCAAGAGACACGUUGGGGUUCCUCCCCUCCACAAAGCUUUCCCAACUCCCUGGGGCCCAGUCACCCCUGGUCACUUGAUUGCAAGUCUGUCCUUUGGGCUGCACACUUCACCCCUCUUACCUAUGCCUCUAUCCCUCACCUGGUCUCCCCUCUGUGCUCACUUGUCUCCAUGACUUGCCUUCCCAUCUUGUGUCAUCGAUUGUUCUGUUUCUAGCAUCUCUUAUAUGAUUGGUGCAUAACAUACAUAUUUUAAAAGAAAGUGAAUCAUCUUUCUGGAAACCAUUUGAAAAGUUCAAAAAUAAGUCGGUAGGUGGCACCCGAGUCUUUCUGUUUGUAGUUUUGGGUUUUGUUUUUUUGUUUUUUAACCCACAGAAGCCAGCAGGUGGCGCUCUCCGACACGAAAGCCUUUGUCACUCAUUAAGUCCUCCCUGCCUCCUUUUCUUCCUCCCUGGCUCCUUCUAGGAAGCCGUGGAUUCCUGAUUUGUCAUAAUACAUGAGCGUGCACAUCGGUAUUAAACACCCAAACGGUCUACACCCGCGCAGAUUAGUAUCAGUACGACUUUACUACUCACUGCUUUCGCCAACAAGUCUUUGCUAUCCCUGGAACUCUUGCCCGGGCAGAAACAACUUGCAAAAUGAGACAGUCGAACUUUCCAGUUCGUGGCAUCAAACAGCUGUUUACUCCCUUUGACACCCUCUUUGACACCCUUGCUGUCCACCAAUCCUGAAUUAUGAUUAUAUUGUAAUGUUUACCAAAUCCUAAUUAAAUCGCAUAUUGAAAGACCCACCUCAUACCAAACCCCGAGAGGUCAUAAAAAUCUUGACUUUGCCCUCUGCCUUUGAGACGCUGCUAGAACUAAAUCUAGGCAGUGAUCUCCCCUAGGGCAAGAGCACUCAACUCAAUUUGCCCUCUGAACAGUCUCUUGGCAACAUGUAUAGACCUGAGCGUACAAGUGUAUUCUAGGCCUUUGCUAACUUGAAAUGUACAAUUUCAGAGGCAGAUCCCACCCCAAGCCUAGAGCAUUGGAAUCUGUACUCCAACACUUGUCAAGGUGAUUUUCCUGCCCAGUGAAACCUGAGGAACAUUGCUCAGAUUGAUUAAUUAAUUAGUUAAUUAACUGAAGAAUUACCUCAGUCUCUUCAAAAGAAUGAAUGCAGACUGAAGGUUUAAAAUUUAAGGAACAGUUGUGUUUUUCUUCUGCUUGUAGCUGAUGUUUAGUUAGUGUCAAAACUACAAAGCAGAAGAAAGUUUUGGAUUCCAGCCUGCCUAAUUAGGGAAUUCUUCAGUGUUGUCUUAGAUCUGCCUUAAGAAGAUCAGUGGGUUUGGGGGGUGUUUGGGGAAAUAUAUUUGCUGAAUUCAGUUAAGUCUUUUUUUUUUUUUUCAACCCCCACCCCCUUCCUAGGGCAGACCUGAGACGCAAUGAAUGUAGGGUGUAUCAUGAUAUAUGGAGCCGUCGGGCUUGCACAUUCUAGAUACAGUGCUUAAUCCCCGUGCACAGUAAGAGUUUUUUCUUCAAAAACUAUUUAAAAUCUGCAUGUAUUAUUUACAUUGUACUCCCUUACAUGUGACAUUAUUACCUUUUGUUGGGAUGUGAGCCCCCUUUGCCUUAGAGAUUUCUGCUACUAUACCGAACGGAUGUAAUGGAAAGAAUAUGGUAUUUGAGAUUGUAAGACAUAGAUGAAAAUCACAGCUCUGCUAUUUCCUGGCCGUGUGAUGUGAGACUAUUCACUUAACCGCUCUGAGCCUCAGUUUUCUCGUCCUAAAAUGGGGAGGGUGUUAUCUCACAUACACAGGCUGACUUAGGGAUCAAGAGACAUGGAGUUUGUGCUAAAAGUUCUAUAAACCAACCUUGGCACUUUCCGUCAUUUGUUUUAAACACACCGCACAGCACUCACGUGUUACUGUGCAUGCAAAAAUGGGUAUUAAUGAACUAAUUAAUGCAUCACGUCAUUUCAGCCUCUCUGAAAACCACCAAUGCACUGUUUUUCUCUUUUGCAUCGUUACUUAAUGAGCUUGUUUCCACAGCCAUGAUUGGCGUUGUGCUUACACCAAGGCUUGUCCCCAGAUUCUUGGACCUCCUGUCAUGGUAGACAGAAAAAAAACAAAAGAGAGCCCUAACCAAACUGCCCGGGGUAUUAGGGUGCCUGGAGAGAGUAACUGUAUUUAGUUGGUGGGUUUCAGAGCCUGUCCUGUGGCUAGGCCUUUGUGAAAGCUUUGAAAACAUAAGCCAGCGAUAAUGUGUAAAUGAUUUUGUAAACGCUACUGCUAAUAAAUUUGGGUGUCACUCUCAGUCAUAGAGAAACAA